GAUGAAGAACGCAGCGAAAUGCGAUAAGUAAUGUGAAUUGCAGAAUUCAGUGAAUCAUCGAAUCUUUGAACGCACAUUGCGCCCGCCAGUAUUCUGGCGGGCAUGCCUGUUCGAGCGUCAUUUCAACCAUCAAGCCCCAGGCUUGUGUUGGGGACCUGCGGAAGCCCCCUGCGGGCACAACGCCGUCCCCCAAAUACAGUCGCGGUCCCGCCGCAGCUUCCAUUGCGUAGUAGCUAACACCUCGCAACUGGAGAGCGGCGCGGCCACGCCGUAAAACACCCAUCUUCUGAAUGUUGACCUCGAAUCAGGUAGGAAUACCCGCUGAACUUAAGCAUAUCAAUAAGCGGAGGA
rnacentral:misc_RNA from 1 species